UACGUAGGGUGCGAGCGUUAAUCGGAAUUACUGGGCGUAAAGCGUGCGCAGGCGGUGAUGUAAGACAGAUGUGAAAUCCCCGGGCUCAACCUGGGAACCGCAUUUGUGACUGCAUCGCUGGAGUGCGGCAGAGGGGGAUGGAAUUCCGCGUGUAGCAGUGAAAUGCGUAGAUAUGCGGAGGAACACCGAUGGCGAAGGCAAUCCCCUGGGCCUGCACUGACGCUCAUGCACGAAAGCGUGGGGAGCAAACAGG
rnacentral:rRNA from 1 species